CAAUAGCGUAUAUUAAAGUUGUUGCGGUUAAAAAGCUCGUAGUUGGAUUUCUGGUGGGGCUGUCGGCCUGGCUCCGAAAGGGGUCGUGGUAUCGUUACACGCCUGGCCAUCCUCGGGGGAAGCUUUGCUGGCAUUAAGUUGUCGGCGGAGUGACGCUCGUCGUUUACUGUGAACAAAUUAGAGUGUUCAAAGCAGGCUUAGGCCGUUGAAUACAUUAGCAUGGAAUAAUGAGAUAGGACUUUGGUGGUCUAUUUUGUUGGUUUGCACGCCGAAGUAAUGAUUAAUAGGGGCGGUUGGGGGUAUUCGUAUUCAAUUGUCAGAGGUGAAAUUCUUGGAUUUAUGGAAGACGAACUACUGCGAAAGCAUUUACCAAGGAUGUUUNCAUUAG
rnacentral:rRNA from 1 species